GACGAACGCUGGCGGCGUGCUUAACACAUGCAAGUCGAGCGGUAAGGCCCUUCGGGUACGACGAGCGGCGAACGGGUGAGUAACACGUGGGUGACCUGCCUCUAGCUCUCGGGAUAAGCCUGGGAAACUGGGCCCGUAAUACCGGAUAUGACUCCACGGCGCAUGUUGUGGGGUGGAAAGCCUUGUGCGGCUAGAGAUGGGCCCGCGGCCUAUCAGCUUGUUGGUGGGGUGAUGGCCUACCAAGGCGACGACGGUAGCCGGCCUGAGAGGGCGACCGGCCACACUGGGACUGAGACACGGCCCACGACUCCUACGGGAGGCGAGCAGUGGGGAAUCUUGCGCAAUGGGGCGAAAGCCUGACGCAGCGACGCCGCGUGA
rnacentral:rRNA from 1 species